GAUGAACGCUGGCGGCGUGCCUAAUACAUGCAAGUCGAGCGAACGGACGAGAAGCUUGCUUCUCUGAUGUUAGCGGCGGACGGGUGAGUAACACGUGGAUAACCUACCUAUAAGACUGGGAUAACUUCGGGAAACCGGAGCUAAUACCGGAUAAUAUUUUGAACCGCAUGGUUCAAAAGUGAAAGACGGUCUUGCUGUCACUUAUAGAUGGAUCCGCGCUGCAUUAGCUAGUUGGUAAGGUAACGGCUUACCAAGGCAACGAUGCAUAGCCGACCUGAGAGGGUGAUCGGCCACACUGGAACUGAGACACGGUCCAGACUCCUACGGGAGGCAGCAGUAGGGAAUCUUCCGCAAUGGGCGAAAGCCGGACGGAGCAACGCCGCGUGAGUGAUGAAGGUCUUCGGAUCGUAAAACUUUGUUAUUAGGGAAGAACAUAUGUGUAAGUAACUGUGCACAUCUUGACGGUACCUAAUCAGAAAGCCACGGCUAACUACGUG
rnacentral:rRNA from 1 species